rnacentral:lncRNA from 1 species
GAUGUGCUGGGCCUGACCAGCCGCCCGCUUUCCUCUUCUCUUGCCUCUGCCUGCCCCCUGGUGGACAGCUGGGGUAAAGCAUGGGAGUGCGCCUUUGGGGUCUCAGUGGGGCUGAAAUACGACUCCUCCCCUAGGACAGCCUGCCUUCCCCAGCCUUGUUCUCCGGCAAAGUCAAUUUCCUGGAGAAUCGAGGCUCUGCCUCAGAUGUUCGGAGCCUCCGCAGGAUGAACACCUCCAUUUCAAUUCCAGGGGCUUUGAUCAACCUGUGCCUCCCUUGAUCCCCAACUUGUGGGCACCUUCCCUUGAGCAGUGCCCCCACGAGGUACACCUUUCCCGGGAAACAAAAAUCAUUCCUUCUUUGGGUCCUGCAAGCUGUAAAGAACCAAUACAGCACUGUGCUACUGAACAUGUUGCCACUAUAGAAGCCCCUUGUGUUUUGAAGAGUACAUCUCUAUAGCCAUUCGUUUAUUCAUCAGAAACCAGCUAGAAGCCAGGCCCUGUGCUGGGCGCUGGAGACAUGGAAGAAACUGGGCUGAGGCUCCCGCCUUGAAGAGCUUGUGGCCCAGGGAAGGGACAGUUCAUCUGUCAUUGAUUGCCACGUGACAGUGUCUAUGAUGCUAAAAAGAUGCCAGUGCUGUGCUGCAGGAGCAAAGGCCGUGGAGGAAGAGGCUUUGGCUUUGUUGCGAGUCCUUGCCAGAGCCAGGCAAAGCCAGUCACCGCUUUGUUCAGAUGACUCAGUGUCUCCUUUUCCAGACUUCUUAGAGGACUUGGAAAGAAAAUGAAAUGACGUUGAACGAAAUCAAAGUAAAUUGAGUGAUCUGAAACGAUUUGAUGUCAGCAAGAAUUCCCCAUACAGCUCACAGCCCUACCCCGAGCACGCCUCCCUCUUGGGUAUGCUCUCUGCAGGCCCAAACCUUGCAGAAGCCAUUCCAUGUUUCCUGAGCAGGAAAAGACAAACUCAGACCGACAACCUUGGACUUCAAAAGACUGCACACAAGGGGAGGAAGGACUGAGAGUACCAAGGCGUGAGAAUUCAGAAUGCUGCUAUCUCAUUUAUUUUUACCAUUUAGGAAACGUUUUGAUCUGCAUUCCUUUUCCCUUCCCUGAUUUCAAAAAAUAAAAAUAAAAAUGCUUCGGU